rnacentral:rRNA from 1 species
AUUGAACGCUGGCGGCAGGCCUAACACAUGCAAGUCGAACGGUAACAGAAAGCAGCUUGCUGCUUUGCUGACGAGUGGCGGACGGGUGAGUAAUGUCUGGGAAACUGCCUGAUGGAGGGGGAUAACUACUGGAAACGGUAGCUAAUACCGCAUAACGUCGCAAGACCAAAGAGGGGGACCUUCGGGCCUCUUGCCAUCGGAUGUGCCCAGAUGGGAUUAGCUAGUAGGUGGGGUAAAGGCUCACCUAGGCGACGAUCCCUAGCUGGUCUGAGAGGAUGACCAGCCACACUGGAACUGAGACACGGUCCAGACUCCUACGGGAGGCAGCAGUGGGGAAUAUUGCACAAUGGGCGCAAGCCUGAUGCGGCCAUGCCGCGUGUAUGAAGAAGGCCUUCGGGUUGUAAAGUACUUUCAGCGGGGAGGAAGGGAGUAAAGUUAAUACCUUUGCUCAUUGACGUUACCCACAGAAGAAGCACCGGCUAACUCCGUG